rnacentral:rRNA from 1 species
CCUACGGGAGGCAGCAGUGGGGAAUAUUGCACAAUGGGGGAAACCCUGAUGCAGCGACGCCGCGUGAGUGAAGAAGUAUUUCGGUAUGUAAAGCUCUAUCAGCAGGGAAGAAAAUGACGGUACCUGAAGAAGAAGCCCCGGCUAACGACGUGCCAGCAGCCGCGGUAAGACGUAGGGGGCAAGCGUUCUCCGGAUUUACUGGGUGUAAAGGGGGCGCAGACGGCGAUGCAAGCCAGGAGUGAAAGCCCGGGGCCCAACCCCGGGACUGCUCUUGGAACUGCGUGGCUAGAGUGCAGGAGGGGCAGGCGGAAUUCCUGGUGUAGCGGUGAAAUGCGUAGAUAUCAGGAGGAACCCCGGUGGCGAAGGCGGCCUGCUGGACUGCAACUGCCGUUGAGGCCCGACAGCGUGGGGAGCAAACCGGAUUAGAUACCCCAGUAGUC